AAAUGAUAUAAAAUUGUUCCUUGGCAUACGAAUUGAAAGAACCAAAGAUAAAAUAACUUUGGACCAAUCAACAUAUCUACAAAAUGUUUUAAACAAAUUUUCCAUGAGUGAUUGCAAUCCCUCAAAAUCACCUUUCCCAAAUAAAUUAAACUAUGACGCAUUGAAUAGUGAUGUACAAUACAAUGCACCCAGUAGACAAGUCAUAGGUUGCCUAAUGUACGCAAUGCUUUGCACGCGUCCUGAUUUGUGCGCGGCUGUUAAUAUUCUAAGCAGAUUUCAAAGUAAAGGCAAUGAGGAGUUAUGGAAAUGUUUAAAGCAUCUUUUAAGAUAUGUGAAGGGAACUUUAAAUCUUAAAUUGAGUUAUCAUAAAUGUGAUUAUAAACAGCUAAUGACUGGUUAUGCGGACUCUGAUUGGGGAGGCGAUGAAACUGAUAGAAAAAGUACAACAGGAUAUUUAUUUCAAAUGUUCGAUAAUUGUACAAUUUCGUGGUGCACACGUAAACAAAAUACAGUGGCCGUUUCCUCAACAGAAGCCGAAUAUAUGGGUCUAUUUGAAGCUGUAAAAGAGGCUAUAUGGAUAAAAUCGUUACUUAUUAGUGUAUACAUAAAAGUAACUAAGCCUAUACUUAUUUAUGAAGACAACAAUAGUUGCAUUAGCAUUGCUAAUAAUCCCACAAAUCACAAAAAGUCAAAGCAUAUUGAUAUAAAAUAUCAUUUUACCCGUGAACAAAUAAACAACAAUGUAAUAAUGCUAGAACAUAUUUCCACAGGAAACCAACUAGCAGAUAUGUUCACGAAGGCGAUUCCAAUGACAAAGUUUCAUGAAUUAAGAGUAAAAUUGAAUUUAAUUUGAUUCUAUUAUAAUUGCAUAAUAUAAAUGUAACAUGAUUGUAUAAACUAACAAUAUAAAAUGAUUAAAAUGCAAUGUUGAGCUUUUUGAUUAGAGUGUAUAUUAAAUGUAUAAAAUACUUGAAUUUUUGAGGGGGACUGUUGGUAUAUUACAAAAAUCCAAGUCUACCUUCCAUUUGUUCAUUCAUUGUAUAAAUACAUUCAUUCACUCAUUCAGUCAAUCUGUCAUUCGUUCAUAAUCAUUAUUCUUGAUUCACUUGAAUACAGAACGUUGAACAGUCAA